UACGUAGGCAGCGAGCGUUGUUCGGAGUUACUGGGCGUAAAGGGUGCGUAGGCGGUUGUUUAAGUUUGGGGUGAAAUCGCCCGGCUUAACUGGGCGGGGGCCUUCCAGACGGCGUGGCUUGAGCAGCGGAGGGGGACGUGGAAUUCCGGGUGGAGCGGUGAAAUGCGUAGAGAUCCGGAGGAACACCGACGGCGCAGGCAGCGUCCUGGCCGCUUGCUGACACUGAGGCACGAAAGCUGGGGGAGCAAACAGG
rnacentral:rRNA from 1 species